rnacentral:tRNA from 2 species
GGCGCGGUAGCCAAGUGGUAAGGCACGGGUCUGCAAAACCCGCAUUCACCGGUUCGAAUCCGGUCCGCGCCUCCA